AUUGAACGCUGGCGGCAGGCCUAACACAUGCAAGUCGAGCGGAUGAAGGGAGCUUGCUCCUGGAUUCAGCGGCGGACGGGUGAGUAAUGCCUAGGAAUCUGCCUGGUAGUGGGGGAUAACGUCCGGAAACGGGCGCUAAUACCGCAUACGUCCUGAGGGAGAAAGUGGGGGAUCUUCGGACCUCACGCUAUCAGAUGAGCCUAGGUCGGAUUAGCUAGUUGGUGGGGUAAAGGCCUACCAAGGCGACGAUCCGUAACUGGUCUGAGAGGAUGAUCAGUCACACUGGAACUGAGACACGGUCCAGACUCCUACGAGAGGCAGCAGUGGGGAAUAUUGGACAAUGGGCGAAAGCCUGAUCCAGCCAUGCCGCGUGUGUGAAGAAGGUCUUCGGAUUGUAAAGCACUUUAAGUUGGGAGGAAGGGCAGUAAGUUAAUACCUUGCUGUUUUGACGUUACCAACAGAAUAAGCACCGGCUAACUUCGU
rnacentral:rRNA from 1 species